rnacentral:rRNA from 1 species
AGAGUUUGAUCCUGGCUCAGGACGAACGCUGGCGGCGUGCCUAAUACAUGCAAGUCGAGCGGAUCUUUGGGAGCUUGCUACCAAAGAUUAGCGGCGGACGGGUGAGUAACACGUGGGCAACCUGCCUAUGAGACUGGGAUAACUCCGGGAAACCGGGGCUAAUACCGGAUAAUUCUUUUCUACUCAUGUAAAAAAGCUGAAAGAUGGUUUUCGGCUAUCACUCAUAGAUGGGCCCGCGGCGCAUUAGCUAGUUGGUGAGGUAACGGCUCACCAAGGCGACGAUGCGUAGCCGACCUGAGAGGGUGAUCGGCCACACUGGGACUGAGACACGGCCCAGACUCCUACGGGAGGCAGCAGUAGGGAAUCUUCCGCAAUGGACGAAAGUCUGACGGAGCAACGCCGCGUGAGUGAUGAAGGUUUUCGGAUCGUAAAACUCUGUUGU